ACAUCUAAGUACCCAGAGGAAGAGAAAGAAAAUUCGAUUCCCUAAGUAGCGGCGAGCGAAAGGGGAAGAGCCCAAACUAGGAACUUGUUCCUGGGGUUGCGGAUAGAUCAUAACGCUUUGAUUUCUUUAGUUGAAGAGAACUGGAAAGUUCCGUCGUAGAAGGUAAUAACCCUGUAGGAGAAAAGGAAAGAAAAGUAGAUCUACUCCAGAGUACCACGAGACACGUGAAACCUUGUGGGAAGCUGGGAGGACCAUCUCCCAAGGCUAAAUACUACCUAGUGACCGAUAGUGAAGCAGUACCGUGAGGGAAAGGUGAAAAGAACCCCGGAAGGGGAGUGAAAUAGAAUCUGAAACCGUGUGCCUACAAUCGGUCGGAGCACAUUAAAGUGUGACGGCGUACUUUUUGUAGAACGGGCCAGCGAGUUACGAUAUAUAGCAAGGUUAAGCACUUAUGGUGUGGAGCCGAAGGGAAACCGAGUCUGAAUAGGGCAACUAGUUGUAUAUUGUAGACCCGAAACCGGGUGACCUAUCCAUGGCCAGGAUGAAGCGGAAGUAAAAUUCCGUGGAGGUCCGAACCACGUUGGUGUUGAAAAACCAUGGGAUGAGCUGUGGAUAGCGGAGAAAUUCCAAUCGAACUCGGAGAUAGCUGGUUCUCCUCGAAAUAGCUUUAGGGCUAGCGUCGGGUAAUUGAGUAGUGGAGGUAGAGCACUGAAUGGGCUAGGGGCUGACAACAGUUACUGAACCCUAUCAAACUCCGAAUGCCAUAUACUUGUACCCCGGCAGUCAGACUACGAAUGAUAAGAUCCGUGGUCAAAAGG
rnacentral:rRNA from 1 species